GCCCACAAUCUAGCCCAUAUUAUAUAUACAUAUAGAUAUGUAUAACCACAAUCUAUUUAAAAUAAAACAUUUUAAUUAUCUAGUAAAGGCGAUUGAAAAACUUCUUGGCGCUUUAGAUCAAGUACCGCAAGGGAAUGAUGAAACAAACUGAAAUAUAACUAAGCUAAUAACAGCAGAGACCCCCUCGUACCUUUUGCAUCAUGGUCGAGCCAGCCCAAUCAAGCAAAACGUAAACUUCAGUUUGACCUCCCGAAACUGAGUGAGCUACUUUAAAAUAGUUUUUGAACUCACCCACCCCUGUCGCAAAAGGGGGGGAAAAUUUUUAAGUAGAGGCGAUAAACCUACCGAACUUAGAGAUAGCUGGUUAUUCAAGAAAAGAUUUUAGUUCUACCUUAAGUUUCUCAUUAAUCCAAACAACCGCCCAAACUUAAGAGUAUUUCAAUAAGGGCCAGCUUAUUUGAAAAAGAAUGUAGCUUAAUAACACAAACUUAAUACCCCCAACCACUCUAAACCCCUAACCAAUAUUGAAUAGCCCCAUACCCAAAUAUGGAAGAUAAUAUGCUCGAACUAGUAAUAAGAAAGUGAAUUUCUCUUAAAUGUAAACAUAAGCCAUACUGGACCAACCACCGGCAAUUAACACCCAUCAGCCCUUACAGUAACCCACCAAGAAAACCCUGCAACCACUCAGUGUUACCCUUACACAAGAACAUUUCAAGAAAGA
rnacentral:rRNA from 1 species